AAAUGAAUAGACGGGGGCCCGCACAAGCGGUGGAACAUGUGGUUUAAUUCGAUGCUACGCGAAGAACCUUACCUACCCUUGAAAUCCCAGGAAUCUUUUAGAGAUAGAAGAGUGCCUUCGGGAACCUGGAGACAGGUGCUGCAUGGCUGUCGUCAGCUCGUGUCGUGAGAUGUUGGGUUGAGUCCCGUAACGAGCGCAACCCUUAUCUUUAGUUGCCAACAGUUCGGCUGGGAACUCUAAAGAAACUGCCGGCGUUAAGCCGGAGGAAGGAGAGGACGAGGUCAAGUCAUCAUGGCCCUUAUGGGUAGGGCAACACACGUGUUACAAUGGUAAGUACAGAGGGUUGCCAAGUCGCGAGGCGGAGCUAAUCUCAGAAAACUUAUCGUAGUCCGGAUUGAAGUCUGCAACUCGACUUCAUGAAGUUGGAAUCGCUAGUAAUCGCGAAUCAGAAUGUCGCGGUGAAUACGUUCUCGGGCCUUGUACACACCGCCCGU
rnacentral:rRNA from 1 species